AUAACUACCAAGUGGAUGGUCGGCUGUUUCAAAAAACCCUGAUGACAGAGUGUUUUACAAUUAAUCACGAUUAUGACAGCUGGGCCCCAUGCGCCAGAGCUCUAAUUAGUUGACCGUUUGUUUGACCGUUAACUCCUACCGUUUCUUCUCCCCCUGCCUCUUUCUUCUUCCCUGCCUCUUUCUUCUCCGUUUCCUCCUCCCGGCGAAGGCCCGACCUCCAGCACCUGCACCUCUCACUGACGGGCACCUCCACCGCGCUUCGCGCCAGUAGCAAGGGUCGCCGCGCCCCGCGCCCAGGAGCAAGGCGAGCAAGGGACGCCGCGAGCGCACCCAGGAGCACGGGCUACCGCGCCCAGGAGCGCCACGAGCCGCGCCCAGGAGCGCCACGAGCCGCGCCCAGGAGCAAGGACCAAGGGACGCCGCGCGCCAUGGCCAGGGUUCAGGCCAACGCGCCCAGGAGCACGCGCUGCCGCGAGCCGAGCGCCAUGGCCAGGGGCUCGGGCUCGGGCCGCCGCGCCCAGGAAGAGGGAGGAGAGAGAGAGGUCGCGCCGCUGGGACUUCACGGCGGCUCCAGGCGGAGCUCGCCGGCAGGAGGAGGCGGCGGCCGAAGGGAGGUCCGCCGCGGCGCGUACUGCACGCUGACGGGCGCGUGAGGGAGCUCUGCGGUGGCGCGGCUCCUCUCGAGCUUGAGCACGCAAGGGACCCGAUUGCUUUUUUUUAAGUUUGCAGGGACCUGAUUGCUUUUUUCAAUUUUUACAGGGACCUGAUUGCUUUAAAAAAAUGUUUACAGGGACCCAAAUGCUUUAUUGACUUUUUUUAUUAGAUUAUGACAAAGAGACACUGACAUAUGGGCCCCACAUGUCAGUUAACGGUCAAACAAUUAGUUUUCUUACGUGCCGGGCCCAACUGUCAUAAUCACAAUCAAUAGUAAAGCACUGGACGAUUAGAGUUUUUGAUUAGAGUUUUUUGAAACAGCCGACCACCCACUUCGUAGUUAUCUGAGAAAAAUUAAAAACCAGUAGUUUUUUGGAACCUUAGCCUGUAAAGUAGUAGUUUUAUGCUAUUUACUCCUUAAACUGUUACUUAGAGGCAUUAUUUAUAACAAAAGAAUCAGGACAUGCUUGAAGAUUUAAUAUCCUUAUCAUGGGACGUGGAGGCCCUUAAGUUUGCAUUUGCUUGUUAAUUAAUAAACAACGUGCAUUAGUUAGCUAUAAUCAUUUCAUUUUUUCCACGGACAUAAUGAUGAUGUUCAGUAGGAUUGUCAGUUUCACAUACUAGAGGUGUAUCAUUGUAACGUAAGGUUUAAGGAGAUCUAAUCUUGGGCAUAUCAGUGUAAGAGCACAACUUUGUACUUGAAUGCUUACUGUGUUUUUACUUUUUACAUGUUGGUGCAUCUAAGAAAGUAAAUUUGUUUGUGAUCUUCAAAUGGUCUGACAUUUAGUUUUGAGGAAUAAUAAAGCCUGAAUUUGGCCACAUUUUGGGGGAAGGAGGGCUAUAGUCUUUAUAAUCUAAUCUUAGCUUUACAGCUUUGUGAUUUGUUGACGAAAUGUAGCUCGAUGUAGUUUUGGAUGUAUUGGGACUGGGAUUUAAGCUUCUUUCCUUUGCAAGACAUGUACAUAAGUACCGUGUGCUAUAUAUAUGGGCUGGAAAAAUAGUGUUGAAACUCGGUUCGUAUAGGUGCUCCUAGAUAAGCAGCCGGGUCGUAUCUUUUGUACUACAUGUCAAAUAAAUAAUAUUAUUUCAUGUGUAUAUAUUUUUGAGGCUGUAUAAUUCCUCUUUAGGAACAUAUUUAAGUCUAUUGUGUUCGGUUCUAUUUUUUCCCCUGGUUAUCUCACAGCCUGUUUCUUUUUUAUGGUUUGUUUAGCUAUCUAAGAAUGCUGGCGAUGUGACUCCGUGUAGACCUUGGCUUGCACCAAAUCUAUGGGCUUAUGCAACUGCAGCGGGUGAACAAUGCAAAGCUGAUAGAAGGUGCUUUGCUCAUUCGCCCAGCAUCCGUUCCGUCAACCUGCAAGGUGUUUGCUUGUUCACUCGGCAUCAGUUCCAUCAAUUUGCAAGGUCUGAUGUAAUUUUGGAACUAGAUGGUUAUUCGGCCCGACUUGUUCAUGUAGUUCAUGGUACUACGUCUGCAAGCUACAUCUUGUGAAGAUUUGGUUACUGCAUUAUAUGGUGGUGUUUCACUUCCCUCGGUCAAGGUUUCAGAUUCUCUGGAGUAUUGGCAAUUGCAGGCUUCAUCAAUCAGAUCAUGUGUAGAGGCAUGAACAGAAUGGCUUCCUCUUCUUGCGAACCGCACUGAUGUUGGCUUCUGGUUUCUGCUGCAAUGGGUUAUUUACUAUGGACAAAUAUGACAACAUUCAUUAGGAGUAUUGUUUCUUGAGGCUGUGUCUCUGCUACAGGUUUUUCAUUCGACUGGAUCUCCUCACCUUGUCAUCUGAUUGCUCUUCGUUUGCUGCUCUGCUUACCAAGGAAAUACCAAAGGAAGUAGCUUGUCGUUUGAAUAUCCCAAGCACGGACUGGUGGGACUACAGUUUGGCAAGCAGCGCUUCACUAGCUAGGACUGAGUAUGAUGAACAAUCACAUGACGUCUGCAUCUUGUUCAAGCAUGGAUGCAAGAAAUUUCUCCUGAAAACAGGACUUGAGGUUGCUUGAUGUCCUCUCAUCAUGUAUAUUGGUGCAGUAUCUCCUAUUCUCUCUCAGAGAGAUGAGAUAAGGAUUACAGGGCUACCAACAGCCCACCUAUAACGGGAGACAUCCCGAGUCAUUGUUGCAUGCUAGAGAACAACUAUCACGUUGGUGAUUUCCCUGAUAUUUGGUUCUACAAGUGUGUCAUAUGGACCAAUGAAAGCAAAGAUAUUCCGGAGAUAAUAACUACAUGGGCUACUCCAAAUGGUCUGACAGUGGAACCAACACCUUUUAUAGGCCUUCAAGUACCUGUGGAAGCCAUUGGCGCAACCGGGUCAUCUAGUAAGGGGAAAGACAAAGAGUUGAUUCCAAUGCAUGCAGAAGAAAGUCAUGAAGACAGCGAUGCUGAGGGUAGUGCAGCUAGAAAUUUCAUCGGCUUAAAGCCUCCAGAACGAAAACGUAAACCAGGUAGACCUACUACCAGCAGGGACAAGCUUCCAUAUGAUGAUUGAGGCGCAAAGAGCAAAAAAUUAAAGGACGCAACGAACGGAAAAGCUCCAGAUGGUUCUGGUACAAGCAAACAUACUCGUUUCUGCAGUAUAUGCCGUGGAGCUGGGCACAAGAGGUACUACAUGUCCGCAGAGAGGUGAUCUCCUUUGCAAAGAAAGGAAAGAGGCCAAAUGUUCAAACUGCGGGGUUGGUGGACACAAGAAGAACACCUGCAACAAACCUAAAGUGGUGCUGCAUGUUGUUGAAAAUGCAACCUUGGAGCAGAUUUUCAUCUAGAAAAAUCUGAAUUCUUUUGUAGUCGGCUCCGUAGGCAUAAUAGUUCUGUAGCCUCUUGUAAUGUUGAGUGCUCAUCCAUUAAUCAGUAGAACUAUUUCAGAUAAUCCUGGUGGCACUUUUCAUGAUCAGCUGCUGUCACGACUGUCUGUAUCUCUCUUUCCCGCACAUAACGUGACCACUUUCAUGUGUUAAAAACUUCCAUCAGCUCUGUCAAAUUGCGGGUGUUCAUUUGUAUUUCGUUCGAAAAUGACAUCAAGAAAAAAGAAUUUCCAUU